ACUUAGUGGCGAACGGGUGAGUAACGCGUGAGAAACCUGCCUUUCAGUGGGGGACAACAGUUGGAAACGACUGCUAAUACCGCAUAACGUAUCUAGGGGGCAUCCUUUGGAUACCAAAGCUUUAUGUGCUGAAAGAUGGUCUCGCGUCUGAUUAGCUAGAUGGCGGGGUAACGGCCCACCAUGGCGACGAUCAGUAGCCGGUCUGAGAGGAUGAACGGCCACAUUGGGACUGAGAUACGGCCCAGACUCCUACGGGAGGCAGCAGUGGGGAAUAUUGGGCAAUGGGGGAAACCCUGACCCAGCAACGCCGCGUGAAGGAAGAAGGCCUUCGGGUUGUAAACUUCUUUUAGCAGGGACGAAGAACGUGACGGUACCUGCAGAAAAAGCAACGGCUAACUACGUG
rnacentral:rRNA from 1 species